GGUUUCGUGGUGUAGUGGUUAUCACGUCUGCUUAACACGCAGAAGGUCGCGAGUUCGAGCCUCGCCGAAACCU
rnacentral:tRNA from 1 species